AACGCAUAUUGCGCCCUUUGGUAUUCCGAAGGGCAUGCCUGUUCGAGCGUCAUUAUCACCCCUCAAGCUCCGGCUUGGUGUUGGGCCUUUUUUCGUUGUCCACUGCCGACAACGGGCCUCAAAGACAGUGGCGGCGUCCCAGAGGGAACCGGUACGAGGAGCUUCUAGUUAAGCAUGUACGCGGGAAGACUCUGGCAGACGACGGUCUUUCACUAAAUUUUCCAAGUGUUGACCUCGGAUCAGGUAGGAAUACCCGCUGAACUUAA
rnacentral:misc_RNA from 1 species